rnacentral:rRNA from 1 species
AGUGAACGCUGGCGGUAGGCCUAACACAUGCAAGUCGAACGGCAGCACAGUAAGAGCUUGCUCUUACGGGUGGCGAGUGGCGGACGGGUGAGGAAUACAUCGGAAUCUACUUUUUCGUGGGGGAUAACGUAGGGAAACUUACGCUAAUACCACAUACGACCUACGGGUGAAAGCAGGGGAUCUUCGGACCUUGCGCGAUUGAAUGAGCCGAUGUCGGAUUAGCUAGUUGGCGGGGUAAAGGCCCACCAAGGCGACGAUCCGUAGCUGGUCUGAGAGGAUGAUCAGCCACACUGGAACUGAGAAACGGUCCAGACUCCUACGGGAGGCAGCGGUGGGGAAUAUUGGACAAUGGGCGCAAGCCUGAUCCAGCCAUACCGCGUGGGUGAAGAAGGCCUUCGGGUUGUAAAGCCCUUUUGUUGGGAAAGAAAAGCAGCAGGUUAAUACCCCGCUGUUCUGACGGUACCCAAAGAAUAAGCACCGGCUAACUUCGUG